rnacentral:rRNA from 1 species
UACGGAGGGUGCAAGCGUUAAUCGGAAUUACUGGGCGUAAAGCGUGCGCAGGCGGUUUGUUAAGUCUGCUGUGAAAUCCCCGAGCUCAACUUGGGAAUUGCAGUGGAUACUGGCAAGCUGGAGUACGGUAGAGGAAGGUGGAAUUCCCGGUGUAGCAGUGAAAUGCGCAGAUAUCAGGAGGAACACCGAUUGCGAAGGCAGCUCGCUGGAACGUAACUGACGCUGAGACGCGAAAGCGUGGGGAGCAAACAGG